rnacentral:rRNA from 1 species
UACGUAGGGUGCAUGCGUUAUUCGGAAUUACUGGGCGUAAAGCGUGUGCAGGCGGUUUUCUAAGUCAGGUGUGAAAUCCCCGGGCUUAACCUGGGAACUGCGCUUGUUACUGGCAAGCUGGAGUGUGGCAGAGGGGGGUGGAAUUCCACGUGUAGCAGUGAAAUGCGUAGAGAUGUGGAGGAACACCGAUGGCGAAGGCAGCCCCCUGGGCUAACACUGACGCUCAUGCACGAAAGCGUGGGGAGCAAACAGG